CAAGUUUAGGUCUUGAUUUAUCAAUAAUCAAAAACAAAUUACAAUUAUUUUUCGAGAAUACAAACGUCUCUUAACACGGUUAGUUGCACUAGCUGUUCUGAAGUUCAAGUCAAAAGUUGUAUUUGUUAACAUUAGUUAAUGCACUGUGAAGUGAACUAACAAGAACAAACGAACAGCUGUAUUUUUAUUAACUAACAAAGUUUAAUAAAUACUGUAUCAAAUGUAUUGGUCAUAGUUAAUGUUAGUUAAUACAUCAGUGUUAACAGAUGAAACCUUAUUGUAAAGUGUUACCCUCGAAAACUAUGUUUUGCUUGAUAGAGAAAAAUAUAUAGUUGACAAAACCACUAAAUUAUAAAAUUUAAAAAUUAGUCAGAGCUUAGUAACCUUAUGUUAAGUUACACAAGCAAACAGACACAGCUAUAUGCACUAAAACAUUUAUUUAGCUUUCAGUUUCAGUCACCAAUUCAAAUAGAUAGAUAGAUAGAUAGAUAGAUAAAUAGAUAAACCACUCAUUCAUUUAUUCUGUAGUAGCAGUGCAUAGAACAAAAUUCAGCAAACUCUUUGUCUGAAUAGAAAGUUGUGAAGACCCCCUUCUUUCCAUGGCUACAAUAUCCAGAGGUGUUUUUGUAGAUGCAUCCACAGCCAUCACACCUGCUGAGCUCAAACUCACUCUGUAGGUCUUCCUUAUAUCUGGACUGACAGACUUCCAGUCAAUGAUACCUACACAAGAAAAAAACAAAUGUUGAGAGAUUCAAACCAAAAGUAACCAAUAAGUAUUUCUAAAUAUAAAAUAAAAAAGACUGCAAGUGUUGUCACUAGCAGAAGCGCAAGUGUGUGAGAGUGCAAGUGCAAGUCUGCAGCCAGACCUUUCUCCGUUAUAUUAUAAGACAACUGUACUGCUGACUCUUCACUGAGACAGUCAUUUUUGUUACUAAAAGUACAUAUGAUUCCUGUGCAUGAUUUCUAAAAGAAUGGAAUCACAAAAAAAGGUGACUGGCACUCAUCUAUACCAUAGGUUAUACAAAUUUUUGGUUUAACAUGUUGGAGUAACUUCAAAAGAGUAAAUGUCCUUCGAGUGCACUUUGGGCAAUGGUACAGUUGAGGCAUGAGGAUCUAAUACAAAAGGCUAAUUAUUCAGUAAAGUUACUGGCAGUGCUUGUCUUCCUCUUCCACAAUGUUGACAAUGUGAUUCUGAAGGAAAGUCGGUGUCUUUCUCAGGUAUGUUGGAUAUGCAAUGUUGAAAGGAAA
ensembl:lncRNA